rnacentral:rRNA from 1 species
UUCCGGUUGAUCCUGCCGGAGGCUACCGCUAUUGGAGUUCGAUUAAGCCAUGCGAGUCGCGAGUCUUCAAGGACUCGGCGUACCGCUCAGUAACACGUGGGUAACCUGCCCUAUGCUGGGGGAUAACCUCGGGAAACUGAGAAUAAUACCCCAUAGUUCACCACGCCUGGAACGGUGGGUGGAUCAAAGCUCCGGCGGCAUAGGAUGGGCCUGCGGCGUAUCAGGUUGUAGGGGGUGUAACGUACCCUCUAGCCAUCAACGCGUACGGGUGUUGGGAGACAUAGCCCGGAGAUGGAUUCUGAGACACGAAUCCAGACCCUACGGGGUGCAGCAGGCGCGAAAACUUGGCAAUGCGAGAAAUCGUGACCAGGGAACUCCAAGUGGCUGGGGUAAUACCCAGUUUUUUCUUGACUCUUCAAAGGUCUUGGAAUAAGGGGUGGGUAAGGACGGUGCCAGCCGCCGCGGUAAUACCGGCGCCUCAAGUGGUAGUCGCUUUUAUUGGGCCUAAAACGUCCGUAGCCGGUCUGGUACAUUCGUGGGUAAAUCAACCCGCUCAACGGGUUGAAUUCUGCGAGCACGGCCAGACUUGGGACCGGGAGAGGUGUGGGGUACUCUCAGGGUAGGGGUAAAAUCCUGUCAUCCUGAGAGGACCACCUGUUGCGAAGGCGCCACACUAGAACGGAUCCGACGGUCAGGGACGAAACCUAGGGGCACGAACCGGAUUAGAUACCCGGGUAGUCCUAGGUGUAAACGCUGUGGACUUGAUGUUGGGGGCGCUCCGAGCGCUUUCAGUGUCGAAGCGAAGGUGAUAAGUCCACUGCCUGGGGAGUACGGUCGCAAGGCUGAAACUUAAAGGAAUUGGCGGGGGAGCACUGCAACCUGAGGAUUGUGCGGUUUAAUUGGAGUCAACGCCGG